AUUGAACGCUGGCGGCAUGCUUUACACAUGCAAGUCGAACGGCAGCGCGGGCUUUGGCCUGGCGGCGAGCGGCGAACGGGUGAGUAAUGCCUCGGAACGUGCCCGGUAGUGGGGGAUAGCCCGGCGAAAGCCGCGCUAAUACCGCAUACGACCUGAGGGUGAACGCGGGGGACCGAAAGACCUCGCGCUAUUGGAUCGGCCGAGGUCGGAUUAGCUAGUUGGUGGGGUAAAGGCUUACCAAGGCGACGAUCCGUAACUGGUCUGAGAGGACGAUCAGCCACACUGGAACUGAGACACGGCCCAGACUCCUACGGGAGGCAGCAGUGGGGAAUAUUGGACAAUGGGGGCAAGCCUGAUCCAGCCAUGCCGCGUGCGGGAAGAAGGCCUUCGGGUUGUAAACCGCUUUUGUUCGGGAAGAAAUCCUGUGGGCUAAUACCCCGCGGGGAUGACGGUACCGGAAGAAUAAGCACCGGCUAACUACGUG
rnacentral:rRNA from 1 species